rnacentral:rRNA from 1 species
AGAGUUAUCCUGGCUCGGAUGAACGCUGGCGGCGUGCCUAUACAUGCAAGUCGAGCGAAUGGAUUAAGAGCUUGCUCUUAUGAAGUUAGCGGCGGACGUGAGUAACACGUGGGUAACCUGCCCAUAAGACUGGGAUAACUCCGGGACCGGGGCUAAUACCGGAUAACAUUUUGAACCGCAUGGUUCGAAAUUGAAAGGCGGCUUCGGCUGUCACUUAUGGAUGGACCCGCGUCGCAUUAGCUAGGGUGAGGUAACGGCUCACCAAGGCAACGAUGCGUACGACCUGAGAGGGUGAUCGGCCACACUGGGACUGAGACACGGCCCAGACUCCUACGGGAGGCAGCAGUAGGGAAUCUUCCGCAAUGGACGAAAGUCUGACGGAGACGCCGCGUGAGUGAUGAAGGCUUUCGGGUCGAAACUCUGUUGUUAGGGAAGAACAAGUGCUAGUUGAAUAAGCUGGCACCUUGACGGUACCUAACCAGAAAGCCACGGCUAACUACGUGCCAGCAGCCGCGGUAAUACGUAUGGCAAGCGUUAUCCGGAAUUAUUGGGCAAAGCGCGCGCAGGUGGUUUCUUAAGUCUGAUGUGAAAGCCCACGGCUCAACCGUGGAGGGUCAUUGGAAACUGGGAGACUUGAGUGCAGAAGAGGAAAGUGGAACCAUGUGUAGCGGUGAAAUGCGUAGAGAUGGAGGAACACCAGUGGCGAAGGCGACUUUCUGGUCUGUAACUGACACUGAGGCGCGAAAGCGUGGGGAGCAAACAGGAUUAGAUACCCUGGUAGUCCACGCCGUAAACGAUGUGCUAAGUGUUAGAGGGUUUCCCCCUUUAGUGCUGAAGUUAACGCAUAAAGCACUCCGCCUGGGGAGUACGGCCGCAAGGCUGAAACUCAAAGGAAUUGACGGGGGCCCGCACAAGCGGUGGAGCAUGUGGUUUUUCGAAGCAACGCGGAGAACCUUACCGUCUUGACAUCCUCUGACAACCCUAGAGAUAGGGCUUCUCCUUCGGGAGCAGAGUGACAGGUGGUGCAUGGGUGUCGUCAGCUCGUAUCGUGAGAUGUUGGGUUAAGUCCCGCAAAGCGCAACCCUUGAUCUUAGUCCAUCAUUUAGUUGGGCACUCUAAAGUGACUGCCGGUGACAAACCGGAGGAAAGUGGGGAUGACGUCAAAUCAUCAUGCCCCUUAUGACCUGGGCUACACACGUGCUACAAUACGGUACAAAGAGCUGCAAGACCGCGGUGGAGCUAAUCUCAUAAAACCGUUCUCAGUUCGGAUUGUAGGCUGCAACUUGCCUACAUGAAGCUGGAAUCGCUAGUAAUCGCGGAUCAGCAUGCCGCGGUGAAUAUCCCGGGCCUUGUACACACCGCCCGUCACACCACGAGAGUUUGUAACACCCGAAGUCGGUGGGGUAACCUUUUUGGAGCCAGCCGCCUAAGGUGGGACAGAUGAUUGGGGUGAAGUCGUAACAAGGUAGCCGU